rnacentral:rRNA from 1 species
GACGAACCGAGCGAACGUUGUUCGGAAUCACUGGGCUUAAAGGGCGCGUAGGCGGGCAUUCAAGUCUAUGGUGAAAUCCGGCAGCUCAACUGUCGAACUGCCGUGGAUACUGGAUGUCUCGAGGGAGGUAGGGGCGUGCGGAACUGAUGGUGGAGCGGUGAAAUGCGUUGAUAUCAUUAGGAACUCCGGUGGCGAAGGCGGCACGCUGGACCUCUUCUGACGCUGAGGCGCGAAAGCCAGGGGAGCAAACGGG